rnacentral:tRNA from 1 species
GAUGUGGUAGCUCAGUGGUAGAGCACUUGCCUAGUAUGCAGGGGGCAGUGGUUCAAUCCCCUGUGUCA